rnacentral:rRNA from 1 species
AUUGAACGCUGGCGGCAGGCUUAACACAUGCAAGUCGAACGGUAACAUAAAGGAGCUUGCUUCUUUGAUGACGAGUGGCGGACGGGUGAGUAAUGCUUGGGAAUCUAGCUUAUGGAGGGGGAUAACUACGGGAAACUGUAGCUAAUACCGCGUAGAAUCGGGAGAUGAAAGUGUGGGACCUUCGGGCCACAUGCCAUAGGAUGAGCCCAAGUGGGAUUAGGUAGUUGGUGAGGUAAAGGCUCACCAAGCCGACGAUCUCUAGCUGGUCUGAGAGGAUGACCCGCCACACUGGGACUGAGACACGGCCCAGACUCCUACGGGAGGCAGCAGUGGGGAAUAUUGCGCAAUGGGGGCAACCCUGACGCAGCCAUGCCGCGUGAAUGAAGAAGGCCUUCGGGUUGUAAAGUUCUUUCGGUAGCGAGGAAGGCAUUUAGUUUAAUAGACUAGGUGAUUGACGUUAACUACAGAAGAAGCACCGGCUAACUCCGUG